GAUCUGUUGAGAAGUCUUCCUUCGGCGUGGCUCCCUGCAGACCGAGCGACCGUUAAGGCGACCGACUGUGGCAGGCAGCCCUAGGAAGAAACUAGCUUCAGUGAGGAGGGAACACAUCUACGUCAGUCCUUACCUGAGUGCUCGAGGACCGACCCUUGACGUAGCCUACGACCUAGAAAGCAGAGAGAAAAGAUUAGGGCACCUGAAUCAGGAUAACACCCUUGGCCCAAGUAGCAGAUGCGCGGCCGCUAUCACCAGCAGAUGAGAACGGCAACCAGUAGAAUCACACUGUUGCUGUAACACACACAAACACACAGACAUUAGCACGACGAGAAAUCACGACCUUGUCAGACAGACCGAACGAAUA